rnacentral:tRNA from 4 species
GCCAGAUUAGCUUAAUUCGGUAAAGCAGUAAUUUUGUAAAUUACGUAUUAUGGAUUCAAAUUCCGUAUCUGGCU